ACGUACAUGUAUAUAAUCGGACAAUGUAUGGAAAACUAUGAGACAGUAAUGGUGCAUUAAAUGAAUUGUUACAUUGGAAAAGUGAACUGAUAUCAUAGUUAGCUGGACAGAAGUUGCUGUUUGGUUUCUGGACUAACUUUUUGUGGGCUUUGUUUAUGACUUGCCAUAAAGAGCCCUCUUUGCAUGGCUGUGACGGAGUGGGAGCUAUUUUUGGAGUAGCCUGACCUGGUGACUAAGUAUUUACCUGCCAGGGACUGGCAGCAAUAACCUGGAAGACUCUUGUGAUUUAGUUUUCUUUCUGUAAUCAGGAGUUUGAUGCAUCUGCUUUAUUUUGUCUUAUAGUCAGCUGAAGAAAUUGUUCCCCGAGGCAAGCCUUCGUCUCCCAGGGAAGAAGAUUUUUGGGAACUUGGACCCAGAUUUCAUUCAGCAGAGAAGAGAGGGGCUGGACAACUUUAUCCAGGAGCUGGUCACACACCCAAAGCUAUCUCAGCAUCCGGAAGUCAGAGCAUUUCUAAAUCUUGAUAAUCCACGAAAUGCACAAGACUCUGUAGACAACUUUGAUGACUCUGAAACUAUGAAUGGUAGGGAUGAUAACCCGGUCAAUUUAGGACCCAGUGAAAAGAAGACUGUUAAACCUAGUGAUUUUGAAUUCCUAAAAGUUAUUGGAAAAGGCAGUUUUGGAAGAGUGCUGCUUGCAAGGAAUAAAAAUGAAGGGAACAUUUACGCCAUCAAAGUGCUACAAAAGCAGGCGAUAAUGAAAAGGAAUGAAGUGAAACAUAUAAUGUCUGAGCGGAAUGUACUGCUGAAAAAUGUCAAACAUCCAUUUCUAGUGGGACUUCACUACUCAUUCCAAACGGCGGAUAAACUGUACUUUGUUCUGGAUUACGUGAAUGGUGGUGAGCUUUUCUUCCACCUUCAGCGUGAGAGAUACUUUCCUGAGCACCGUGCCAAAUUUUACGCUGCAGAAAUGGCCAGCGCUAUUGGUUACCUUCAUUCCUUAAACAUUAUCUACAGAGAUCUCAAACCAGAAAACAUCCUUCUUGAUUCCAAGGGUCACAUAACUCUGACAGGACUUUGGACUUUGUAAAGAAGGAAUUGAGGGCAUGGGCACAACGAAUACAUUUUGUGGAACCCCAGAGUACCUGGCUCCAGAAGUGUUGCGGAAGCAGCCGUACGAUAAAACGGUGGACUGGUGGUGUCUGGGGGCGGUCAUGUACGAGAUGAUGUAUGGACUGCCUCCUUUCUAUAGUCGUGACACAGCUGAGAUGUACGACAACAUUCUGUAUAAACCCCUCAGACUCCGAACCAACGUCUCACAGUCUGCUAGACAGAUACUGGAUGGGUUACUACAAAAAGAGAAGGAACAGAGGCUAGGUUCCAAGAGAGACUUCACAGAGAUUAAGAACCACAAUUUCUUUGCCGACAUCAUCCCAGUGUAUCUAGUCUGUGAUUGGUCACACACAUUACAUCCAAUGAACAAGCUGCUGGUUAAGCACUGCUGACAAGGAGUUCACUUCCUGUGACCAGAGAAAGGAGGUCUUUGAUUUGUUGUUGAAUAACAUUAUUGAAGGAUACAGUAUAGAGUAAAUGAAUAUGAAGUGCUGCAUGUAGGAAUGAACAGUUUCAGUGGUCAAAUGAAACUUAGUCUUUAAGCCUUCUUUUGUAUCAGUUGAGAGACUUUACAAAUGGAUUUGAUGAGAUGAAAACCGAGAUGCAAGAGUUCAUUUUAUUGUUUAUUUUAUGCCAUGACUGUUGUAAACAUACAGACUCAAAAAAUAUAAUAGGAAGAGGAUAUGCUGACAGUGCCUUAAGUUUUUGUUUUCUUCUGUUAAGAUCAAUUUCAUGUAUGUUUUAUUUUAUUUUUCAAUGAGAUAUAUUUUUAGUGCCUUUUGCACUUGCUAGCUGUUUUAAGUCAUGUCUGCAAGUAUAACAGGACAUUUUUCAGGUGUAUUCAUAGGGCAGAGAUUUAGCACUAUCAUAUUGUAAUUUUAAACAAUUAUUUUAAAUAGUACUUAAAGGAAGACAACUUGAAACAAAUAUUUUUACUCAAAACACUCAAGUUUUCCCAGAGGUAAUUGUUUUUGAAUUCUUUUUUUUAAGUUAUCUCUCUUUACCAUAUAAAAAGAUUUGAUUUAAAUGAAAUUAGCUUCAUACAUAUCAACCUUAUUUUUGUCCAGGUUGAAAUAGCUAGGAAACACACAAUCUAUUCAUUUUGGCCUUAGUCUUGUCUGGUUUGGUGUCUGAAUGAAUGAUGAGGCAAAUUUGACUGGUCCCUGACUUUUACAUACACUCAAAGUAUUGAUGACAUAUCAAAAAGCAUGGAUUUUUGUCAUUUAUGUAAGUAAUUUAUACAUAUUGUGGAUCAGUUUUAUUUUGUAUAUAUGCCAGGAUUUUAUAUUUAACUAGGUGCUGUGAUAUUUAUGCCGUCUGCCAGUAUUCUAUUAAGGGGCAGGUAACUGCUCUUUAGAGUAAAUCAGGCAGAUUAUUUUUUUAAAUGUUUAAAACAAUGACAUUGUGAUUUAUAUGAAAAUUAAGAAGUAUUGUUUUGUUUUGUUUAUUAGAAAGUAUUGUUAUUACGAGCAAAGUUUGUAUAUAAAAUACUCAAUGUGCAAUUUGAUUAAAAAUUAUAAAACAUUGACAAUAAAAAAAAAUAAACC
rnacentral:misc_RNA from 1 species